UCGGUUCCGGUUCACGCAUUCCGCGCCCCAGCGGCGUGCGACCCGGCGACC
rnacentral:ncRNA from 1 species